CAGUACGGUCGGAAAUCGUACGUAGAGUGUAAAGGCAAAAGAGAGCUUGAUUGCAAGACAUACAGGUCGAGCAAGGAUGAAAAUCGGACUUAGUGAUCCGGUGGUUCUGCGUGGAAGGGCCAUCGCUCAACGGAUAAAAGCUACCCUGGGGAUAACAGGCUUAUCUCCCCCAAGAGUCCACAUCGACGGGGAGGUUUGGCACCUCGAUGUCGGCUCAUCACAUCCUGGGGCUGUAGUAGGUCCCAAGGGUUGGGCUGUUAGCCCAUUAAAGUGGUACGCGAGCUGGGUUCAGAACGUCGUGAGACAGUUCGGUCCCUAUCCGUCGCAGGCGUAGGAAAUUUGAGAAGACCUGUCCUUAGUACGAGAGGACCGGGAUGGACGUACCUCUGGUGUACCAGUUGUCCUGCCAAGGGCAUGGCUGGGUAGCUAUGUGCGGAAUGGAUAAGCGCUGAAAGCAUCUAAGCGCGAAGCCAACUUCAAGAUAAGAUUUCCCACCGCAAGGGUAAGACCCCAGAAAGACUAUCUGGUUGAUAGGUCGAAGGUGUAAGUGCAGCAAUGUA
rnacentral:rRNA from 1 species